UACGUAGGGUGCAAGCGUUGCCCGGAUUUAUUGGGCGUAAAGAGCGUGUAGGCGGCUUUACAGGUCCGUUGUGAAAACUCGAGGCUCAACCUCGAGACGCCGGUGGAAACCGUAAAGCUAGAGUCCGGAAGAGGAGAGUGGAAUUCCUGGUGUAGCGGUGAAAUGCGCAGAUAUCAGGAGGAACACCGAUGGCGAAGGCAGGUCUCUGGGCCAUAACUGACGCUGAGAAGCGAAAGCGUGGGGAGCGAAACAGG
rnacentral:rRNA from 1 species